CCCAGUUCUCUGUUUAUGAAGGAGCCUAUAGGAAUAGAUGAUUACUGAGAAAAUAAUUGGGAAACACUUGCAAUACAAUCAAUAAAAAACUAAAUACAAACUUGAAUAAUACAUGAUUCAACUGUUUUUUUUCUUUCCUUUGCAAACCGGUGAGGGAAAAGAAUGAAAACAAAUUCCCUCACCAACUUCAAAACCUGGACUAGAUGUUUUUGUUUGCAAACAGGUGAGGGAUGAGAAUGAAAACAAAUUCCCUGACCAACUUGAAAACCUGAACUAAUAGCAUACAAAACAAAGCCUCUCCAAUCUGAUGUGCAUAAAUUAAACCCCCC
rnacentral:lncRNA from 1 species